rnacentral:snRNA from 1 species
ACCCAUCCGCAGUGGCAGUAUUGUAACCAAUGAGGUUUAUCUGAGGCGUGAUUAUUGGUAAUUGAAAACUUUUCCUUUUUUUUUAAACCAAUUUUUAUUUCUUUUUUUUGUGCAGCAAUUAUCCUGCUCUUUCAAAA